GUUGAAGAACGUAGCGAAAUGCGAUACUUGGUGUGAAUUGCAGAAUCCCGUGAACCAUCGAGUCCUUGAACGCAAGUUGCGCCCGAAGCCAUUAGGCCGAGGGCACGCCUGCCUGGGCGUCACACGUCGUUGCCCCCCCAUCUACUCCUUCGGGAUUGCGGGGGGCGGAUGAUGGCCUCUCGUGCGCCUCGUCGCGCGGUUGGCCUAAAUGCCAAGUCCUCGGCGACGCACGCCACGACAAUCGGUGGUUGCGAAACCUCGGUUGCCUGUCGUGUGCGGUCGUCGCGCAUCGAGGGCUCGAAAAAAUUGCCGGGCUUCGGCUCGACUUUCAACGCGACCCCAGGUCAGGCGGGGUUACCCGCUGAAUUUAAGCAUAUCAAUAAGCGGAGGA
rnacentral:misc_RNA from 1 species